rfam:Felis catus isolate Cinnamon breed Abyssinian chromosome D4, whole genome shotgun sequence.
GCCUGGGUGGCUCAGUGGGUUAAGCAGCCAACUUCGGCUCAGGUCAGGAUCUCGCAGUUCGUGGGUUCGAGCCCCACAUCAGGCU